GAGUUUGAUCCUGGCUCAGGAUGAACGCUGGCGGCGUGCCUAAUACAUGCAAGUCGAGCGAACAGACGAGGAGCUUGCUCCUCUGACGUUAGCGGCGGACGGGUGAGUAACACGUGGAUAACCUACCUAUAAGACUGGGAUAACUUCGGGAAACCGGAGCUAAUACCGAAUAAUAUAUUGAACCGCAUGGUUCAAUAGUGAAAAACGGUUUUGCUGUCACUUAUAGAUGGAUCCGCGCCGCAUUAGCUAGUUGGUAGGGUAACGGCUUACCAAGGCGACGAUGCGUAGCCGACCUGAGAGGGUGAUCGGCCACACUGGAACUGAGACACGGUCCAGACUCCUACGGGAGGCAGCAGUAGGGAAUCUUCCGCAAUGGGCGAAAGCCUGACGGAGCAACGCCGCGUGAGUGAUGAAGGUCUUCGGAUCGUAAAACUCUGUUAUUAGGGAAGACAAAUGUGUAAGUAACUAUGCACGUCUUGACGGUACCUAAUCAGAAAGCCACGGCUAACUACGUGCCAGCA
rnacentral:rRNA from 1 species